UCAGUUCAUUGCAGUUUGAUUCGGUUCAAUUUGGUUCAGUUCGAUGUGUUCGCCCGUUUGUCGGUUUGUCUUGCCACUGUCAGUCGGUCGCUCAGUCAUUCAGCUGCUUUGCGCCCGUCUGUGCGUCGUGUCGCUCCGUCUUCAGCUGGCGUGUCCGGUGUUCGCUUUACGCACUGCGCUCGGUUAUUGCCCUUUCGACAAACAACGCACUCACCAAUGCUCAUACAUGCACACACACAUGCGUUUGCUGGCAUUUUCAAUUAGUGGCAGCUCAGCUCGCGUCCUUUUGCUUAUUCGAUUUCCUCUGCCUACUUUAACUUUAUAUUUAUUUUAUAUUCCUUUAUUCUAUUUAUUUCCACUUUUGCAUUUCUAUGAAUAUGCAUGUGUGUUCGCUGGCUUAUUCUUAUGGGAUUUGCCCCUCUUGUGAUGAUCUUCGACUUGGUUUUGCGCUUGUUUGGUGUCUUAGGGUUUCUAUUUUCUUUAAAUGGAUUUUUAAUUUGCAUUGUUUCGCGAAGUUUGUUGACUUUAAAAACUUAUUUUUAGAUGCACCAAAGUUCUUGCUACGUUUAGUGAAAUCCGAGCUUUGCGACGUUCAAAAGUUGAAAUAAUUUUAUUUAUUUCCAGGUGUUCUGCAAGGUAUGGCUCAGCCUGCUCAGCUCAAUCCCUGGCGACGGCGUUAAGGUCACAUCCCAAAUUUUGUGUGAUGGCGAAAGUUACUGUAGUCUUAUGCUCCAGUGAAAAGUAAUUUCAUAAAAAAAAACGAUGCACCGAAACCUGAAGCUAGAAUACCCCCUGCAAUGCAUUUUUUUCCGAUACUGGCGGUUCCUGCAAAUGAGCAGCUUAUUGGGGAGAAAAUGACAUGUGCAAAAUUUCAGAUCGAUAUCUCAAGAACUGAGGGGUGACUGGUUUAUAUAUGUUAUGGUGGUACUAUAUCAGCGGUUCUGAAAAGUAAGCAGCUUUGUGGUGAGACAUGAGAACGUGUUCAAAAUUUCGUAUGGACAACUCAAAAACAGAGGGAUAUACAAACGAAUAUAUGAACAGAUAGACGGACAUGGCUAUAUUGACUCAGCUCGCCGUGAUGAACGAGUAUGUGUACACUUUAUAGAAUGUUUCCUUCUGGGUGUUACCUUACCUUAUGUUUUCUAAAGAACAUUGAAAUUUAUCUAUUCAGGAUUUUUUGAACAAACAAUGGAAUCGCAAAGACCCUAUAUUUAAGAGCAUGCAACGACACUCUAAGGCAGUAAGCGAUCAGUGAAGUUAAAAAGUUGUUGAUAAAUCUGCGUUCAAAUAAAUAAGGUAGCUGUACAAUACUCUCCUAAUUUAGAUGUUUCAAGAUCUGUCAUAUAACAGAUUUAUACGGCUUUGUGGAAAAGCAGAAAGCGAAGAAUGUCAUAACUCUUUGGAAUUAUGGUGUAUAUCAUACGUUCUGUAAGUGUAAUUGGUUAAUGCUAAAUGAUGUUAGAAAGAUAAAUUUUUGCCGGAGACAGCAUCAGUAUCAUUUGAACACCCGUCAAAAGGGACGCCAGCAAAAAACACAAAUGCCAUCUCUUCUUAGGUGAAACCAAAAACGGAAGCCAUCCGCGUGAAAAUGUGAAUAGUUUUUAUGUUUCUGCUACUGUACCAACCAGGCAAAAUUUUUGUCGGUUUCGUUCGGGUAAAAUUGGUGUAAAAGAUGCAUUGUUAUGGGAAGACCAAUUGUUGCAAAUAUCGAUAAAAUACUGAAAAUCUAAUCUCCGUUCAACGCUAGGUCACUCACAUCGAUCGUCACUUGCCAUAAGGUCCGGGACAUUGGUUGGGAGGUUCUUAUGCAUCCACCUUAUAGGCCAGACCUGGCAUCAAGUGAAUAUUAACUGUUUCUGUUUAGGAAUAAUGAUUUUUCCAUACAAAAAUUCG